UUGUCAUUAAAAGUUAAUAAUUGGGACAAUAACAAUAUAUAUUUUAUCUAACACACAAGACACACAAAAAAAAAAUAUUCAAUAGACGGACUUCAAAAAAUGACGAAGUGUUAAAAGGAAAUGACACUGACAAAGUGGACAAAAUAAUAUACAAUUUGCAUUUGGAUUGCAAUGAUUUCUAUGUAGAUGGUUGAGCAAAAUUAAAUAGUAAAAAGAAUAGCGGCACGAAACCUGAAGAAAAGUAGGGAUUAACUGAAAAAAUAACGAUAUUCAGGGAUUUUAUUGGGAGUGAAUGGAUUGAGAAGCCUUAUUAACAAUAAAGUGAGAUGAAUAUAAGGUCCACCCCGGGCUGUAGUGCCAUUUAGUAAGUGAGGGAUUUGCGGAAUUAGAAGUAAUUCAAGUUUAGUGAGCUAAACAAGGAAAAGACAUUGGAAGCCCCAAAAAAGGUGGUUUAAUGAAGACGAACAAGAUAUAAAGAGAUUGGAAAUUGAAAAUUGGAAAAACGAGGCAAGAGAUCAGGCGAAGUUUUUUAAUGGUUUGACUUCCUCUAUAGCCCUUCUGACAGUACAGAGCACUCAAUAUAUACUAUGAUUGCUACUUAAUACGCCGUUACUAUAAGUGAAGAUAAUGUUGUAAAGUAAAUUUCAAGUAUGG